UGGGGAAUAUUGCACAAUGGGCGCAAGCCUGAUGCAGCCAUGCCGCGUGUGUGAAGAAGGCCUUCGGGUUGUAAAGCACUUUCAGCGGGGAGGAAGGCGAUAAGGUUAAUAACCUUGUCGAUUGACGUUACCCGCAGAAGAAGCACCGGCUAACUCCGUGCCAGCAGCCGCGGUAAUACGGAGGGUGCAAGCGUUAAUCGGAAUUACUGGGCGUAAAGCGCACGCAGGCGGUCUGUCAAGUCGGAUGUGAAAUCCCCUGGCUCAACCUGGGAACUGCAUUCGAAACUGGCAGGCUAGAGUCUUGUAGAGGGGGGUAGAAUUCCAGGUGUAGCGGUGAAAUGCGUAGAGAUCUGGAGGAAUACCGGUGGCGAAGGCGGCCCCCUGGACAAAGACUGACGCUCAGGUGCGAAAGCGUGGGGAGCAAACAGG
rnacentral:rRNA from 1 species